CAAUCAUGCUGGGUCAUGAAACUAAUUGUGCUUUGUGAGGGUGAAAAUUCUCCGUUUCCGAGCGGGGGACACUGCUGCAUGACGGAUGAACGUUAGAAAUGUGGCUCCCCCUAUCCAGAAAAAGGAAAAGGAGAGAAAAGGCUUUCUUUUGCCACAAUUACCACCCUGGGUCCAUAGUAUCCAGCAGUCAGAAGGCCAAGAUUUUGAUUCUCCAACUCAAAGAAAGGGAUAUUACUCAAGCUUUUAGGACAGCUUGGAGUGGUCAAGCCUCAGCACUCAGAAGACAGAGGAAAGCAGGAAAGGAGGAACUCUCUGCAGUUGUCCAGUGACAUCUGGCCACAUCUCCACGGCUUUGCCUGAUUCCACCUGCCUAAAAUACCCUUUCUUCUCCCUCUCCAGCAAACCUCUAAAUAUCUACGAUGUGAUCUCAUGAAAGAAGCCUCCCAGCCUGGGUUCAGGGUUCUUCACAUGACACUGUACUUUUCAUAUUAUGAGCUAAAUAUGAGACAGAUUCUCCCCCUGGAUUGAUGGACUCACUCAUAUGGAGCCAAUCAUCCUACCAAGAAUAACUAGAAGAGCUAGAUGAAAACCAAUCAAAUGAAAGAAACCUGUUUGAAGAGACUCCCAAGACAGCAAGGACUUCAAGAGUAAAGGUCUUCAUGAGAAGGAAAAUUCAUAAGGGGGAACAUGACAUUUUGCACUGCUUUUCCCUUUGGAACAUUUGGAGCAUUUGCCAAUUUACCGUAUUGGCAAUAAAACCAUACAGAAAAGUGAGUAGAUUAUAAGUAGAAAAUUCAGGCAACUGAUUACCCUAGAGGGGAGGCAGGUCAUUUUGAGACAGGGCAUACAGGUUUGAUUUUGUUUGUUCUCUCUUUUUAAAAAAGAAACAGGCAGUAUCCUAUUUCUUAAACUAGAUUGUGGUUACAUAGCAAAUAAGUUUGUUAUUUUUCUUCAAAUUUACGUGCACAUACAGAUACAUAUUUAUAUAUGUGAUAUAUAUGUAUAUCACAUUAUUUUUCAUGCACAUUUAUCGCGAAGAAGAAAAAGGAAAGAAACUCUAAACUAAUAGCUCUUAUCCACAGAGAACAUAUUCCAGCCCUCAGCAUGAUUUUGUAUUUCAGCAGUUUCCUCAGAGUUGCUAGAAAACCUGUUCUUCUCAUCCGUCGCUAGUAACUUCUGUUAUUCCCAAAUGAUAAUAAAAAUCUCCAGGGCUAGAAGCUAAAAAGCUGGUAUGCAGAAAUAAGAGUAUUAAAGAAAGCUGAUGUGUGGCCUCAUCCUAGGAGAGAUUAAAAAAGAAUACAAAGAAGGCAAUGUUUAGGUUGGGGGGUAGAAGAAAGUGUGAGAAAUCAAUCUGUUUACAGACUCAGCCAUAUAUAACAAUUCUUAUAUCUGUAUACCUUUGUACAUAUACACAUAUAAUAAUGUGUACAUCUGUACUGGAUUUGGGGAAUGAAGGUCAGAAAGAAUGCAUAACACAAGGGUAAAACGAGAUUAGGAAAAGGAAUGGAGAUAGUAGCUGAGUUCCUGAAGAGAUACAGCUUAUGAGUUUCUGACAGCAAAAAGAAGAGGAUGGAUGAGCAAGAACAGGUUGAGAAUAAAAUGUAAGAGAUGGAAAGAACCAAGGAAUCAGUCAAGUUAACAUCACUUUAGGUGUGGAAGAACCACAGAGAUUUCCAUACCCCAGGUUCUAUGGUGCUUCCAGAUUUCCAAGCAGAGGUUUUCUCCUCAUGCCCUGGCGUACAACAUCCAUAAAGAAUGGCCUUGGAAGUAAAGUAUUUCCAUAAGGCAAUUGCCUUAUAAGUGAGCACACACCUUUGCAGCCUCUAUGCUUCCUUAAACACAGUGCAACUUAAUACAUAAUGCUUCAACUAAGAGAAUGAGAAACUUCAAGUACAAACACAUGGCAGCUUUCUGGAAAUCAACUUGAGUACAACUGUCAAGAAGGAAGAUUGCUUAAUCUUAAACAAAUGCCUGGAAAAAAGCAUACUGUCUAAUAUUUCAGAUAUUUAUCAGCAAU